rnacentral:rRNA from 1 species
UACGAAGGGGGCUAGCGUUGCUCGGAAUCACUGGGCGUAAAGCGCACGUAGGCGGAUCGUUAAGUCAGGGGUGAAAUCCUGGAGCUCAACUCCAGAACUGCCUUUGAUACUGGCGACCUUGAGUUCGGGAGAGGUGAGUGGAACUGCGAGUGUAGAGGUGAAAUUCGUAGAUAUUCGCAAGAACACCAGUGGCGAAGGCGGCUCACUGGCCCGAUACUGACGCUGAGGUGCGAAAGCGUGGGGAGCGAACAGG